UUGAACGCUGGCGGCAGGCCUAACACAUGCAAGUCGAACGGUAACAGGAAGAAGCUUGCUUCUUUGCUGACGAGUGGCGGACGGGUGAGUAAUGUCUGGGAAACUGCCUGAUGGAGGGGGAUAACUACUGGAAACGGUAGCUAAUACCGCAUAACGUCGCAAGACCAAAGAGGGGGACCUUCGGGCCUCUUGCCAUCGGAUGUGCCCAGAUGGGAUUAGCUAGUAGGUGGGGUAACGGCUCACCUAGGCGACGAUCCCUAGCUGGUCUGAGAGGAUGACCAGCCACACUGGAACUGAGACACGGUCCAGACUCCUACGGGAGGCAGCAGUGGGGAAUAUUGCACAAUGGGCGCAAGCCUGAUGCAGCCAUGCCGCGUGUAUGAAGAAGGCCUUCGGGUUGUAAAGUACUUUCAGCGGGGAGGAAGGGAGUAAAGUUAAUACCUUUGCUCAUUGACGUUACCCGCAGAAGAAGCACCGGCUAACUCCGUGCCAGCGGCCGCGGUAAUACGGAGGGUGCAAGCGUUAAUCGGAAUUACUGGGCGUAAAGCGCACGCAGGCGGUUUGUUAAGUCAGAUGUGAAAUCCCCGGGCUCAACCUGGGAACUGCAUCUGAUACUGGCAAGCUUGAGUCUCGUAGAGGGGGGUAGAAUUCCAGGUGUAGCGGUGAAAUGCGUAGAGAUCUGGAGGAAUACCGGUGGCGAAGGCGGCCCCCUGGACGAAGACUGACGCUCAGGUGCGAAAGCGUGGGGAGCAAACAGGAUUAGAUACCCUGGUAGUCCACGCCGUAAACGAUGUCGACUUGGAGGUUGUGCCCUUGAGGCGUGGCUUCCGGAGCUAACGCGUUAAGUCGACCGCCUGGGGAGUACGGCCGCAAGGUUAAAACUCAAAUGAAUUGACGGGGGCCCGCACAAGCGGUGGAGCAUGUGGUUUAAUUCGAUGCAACGCGAAGAACCUUACCUGGUCUUGACAUCCACGGAAGUUUUCAGAGAUGAGAAUGUGCCUUCGGGAACCGUGAGACAGGUGCUGCAUGGCUGUCGUCAGCUCGUGUUGUGAAAUGUUGGGUUAAGUCCCGCAACGAGCGCAACCCUUAUCCUUUGUUGCCAGCGGUCCGGCCGGGAACUCAAAGGAGACUGCCAGUGAUAAACUGGAGGAAGGUGGGGAUGACGUCAAGUCAUCAUGGCCCUUACGACCAGGGCUACACACGUGCUACAAUGGCGCAUACAAAGAGAAGCGAACUCGCGAGAGCAAGCGGACCUCAUAAAGUGCGUCGUAGUCCGGAUUGGAGUCUGCAACUCGACUCCAUGAAGUCGGAAUCGCUAGUAAUCGUGGAUCAGAAUGCCACGGUGAAUACGUUCCCGGGCCUUGUACACACCGCCCGUCACACCAUGGGAGUGGGUUGCAAAAGAAGUAGGUAGCUUAACCUUCGGGAGGGCGCUUACCACUUUGUGAUUCAUGACUGGGGUG
rnacentral:rRNA from 1 species